rnacentral:rRNA from 1 species
UACGUAGGGUGCAGGCGUUAAUCGGAAUUACUGGGCGUAAAGCGUGCGCAGGCGGUUUGCUAAGACAGGUGUGAAACCCCGGGCUUAACCUGGGAACUGCGCUUGUAACUGGCAAGCUAGAGUGUGGCAGAGGGGGGUGGGAAUUCCGCGUGUAGCAGUGAAAUGCGUAGAUAUGCGGAGGAACACCGAUGGCGAAGGCAAUCCCUGGGCCUGCACCUGACGCUCAUGCACGAAAGCGUGGGGAGCAAACAGGGA